UAUCAUGGUUGCUCUGCUUUGC
rnacentral:siRNA from 1 species